AUUGAACGCUGGCGGCAUGCCUUACACAUGCAAGUCGAACGGUAGCGGGCCUUCGGGUGCCGACGAGUGGCGAACGGGUGAGUAAUGUAUCGGAACGUACCUUUCAGUGGGGGAUAACGUAGCGAAAGUUACGCUAAUACCGCAUAUUCUGUGCGCAGGAAAGCAGGGGACCUUCGGGCCUUGCGCUGAUUGAGCGGCCGAUAUCAGAUUAGCUAGUUGGUGAGGUAAAGGCUCACCAAGGCAACGAUCUGUAGCGGGUCUGAGAGGAUGAUCCGCCACACUGGAACUGAGACACGGUCCAGACUCCUACGGGAGGCAGCAGUGGGGAAUUUUGGACAAUGGGGGCAACCCUGAUCCAGCCAUGCCGCGUGAGUGAAGAAGGCCUUCGGGUUGUAAAGCUCUUUCGGCAGGAACGAAACGGUGGGGGCUAAUACCCUCCGCUAAUGACGGUACCUGAAGAAGAAGCACCGGCUAACUACGUGCCAGCCGCCGCAGUAAUAC
rnacentral:rRNA from 1 species